AAAUUUAUUGUCCAGCACCACCACAAAUUGACAAUGGAAUAAUUCAAGGGAAACGUGACCAUUAUGGAUAUAGACAGUCUAUAACGUAUGCAUGUAAUAAAGGAUACACCAUGAUUGGAGAGCACUCUAUUUAUUGUACUGUGAAUGAUGAUGAAGGAGAAUGGAGUGGCCCACCACCUGAAUGCAGAGGAAAAUCUCUAACUUCCAAGGUCCCACCAACAGUUCAGAAACCUACCACAGUAAAUGUUCCAACUACAGAAGUCUCACCAACUUCUCAGAAAACCACCACAAAAACCACCACACCAAAUGCUCAAGCAACACGGAGUACACCUGUUUCCAGAACAACCAAGCAUUUUCAUGAAACAACCCCAAAUAAAGGAAGUGGAACCACUUCAGGUACUACCAGUCUUCUAUCUGAGUCUUACUCUGUCACCCAGGCAAGAGUGUGGUGAUGUGCUCUUGGCUCACUGCAACCUCUGCCUCCUGAGUUCAAGCAAUUCUCCUGCCUCAGCCUUCGGAGUAGCUGGGAUUACAGAGCUGCAGACCUUCGCAGUGAGUGUUAUAGCUUUUAAAGGUGGCGCGUCUGGAGUUGUUUGUUCCCUUCAGUGGGUUCGUGGUCUCGCUGGCCUCAGGAAUGAAGCUGCAGACCUUCGCGAAUUAUACCUGGACAUCUUUUGCCAGGUGACUUUUCAGUGCCUUCCACUAUAGUAGAUGGAAUAUACUUCCCCACUCCAUUGAGCCCAUUUUUUGUUGGCUAACCUAUAGUUUUAAGAUUGUAAUUUUUUAAAUCUAGUUACCUUGGUUGCUUUUUAGAGAGCUAUUCGUCCCAAUAACUUAGACCACCAUUAUUUAAAAAUGGAAUUCCUAACCACAAUGUAUGUACCUCAUCAUAGGAAGGAACACAAAUGGGGGAGUAGAAGAAAACAGAAAUGUAUUAAUAGGCGACAGUGAGUACUUCAGCUUUAUGCGUAAUGUUUUAUUUCCUGUAUUACAAAGUAAAAGAUAUGAAGCAUUUGACUAAAAAUGUUAAUUUAUAUAAUUUGAAUGAUGGGUACAUGGGCAGUUGUUAUAUUUAUAUAUACUUUUAUGUAUUCUAAAUUUUUUUCUCAAAAUAAAAAAGAGAAACAGUCAAGGGUUA
rnacentral:sRNA from 1 species